AGGAUUAGAUACCCUGGCAGUCCACGCCGUAAACGAUGUCUACUAGCCGUUGGGACUCUUGAAGUCUUAGUGGCGCAGCUAACGCACUAAGUAGACCGCCUGGGGAGUACGGCCGCAAGGUUAAAACUCAAAUGAAUUGACGGGGGCCCGCACAAGCGGUGGAGCAUGUGGUUUAAUUCGACGCAACGCGAAGAACCUUACCUGGCCUUGACAUGCAGAGAACUUUCCAGAGAUGGAUUGGUG
rnacentral:rRNA from 1 species